rnacentral:rRNA from 1 species
ACUCCUACGGGGAGGCAGCAGUGGGGGAAUAUUGCACAAUGGGGGAAAACCCUGAUGCAGCCAUGCCGCGUGUGUGAAGAAGGCCUUCGGGUUGUAAAGCACUUCAGUAGGGAGGAAGGUAGUGUAGUUAACACCUGCAUUAUUUGACGUUACCUACAGAAGAAGCACCGGCUAACUCCGUGCCAGCAGCCGCGGUAAUACGGAGGGGUGCGAGCGUUAAUCGGAAUUACUGGGCGUAAAGCGCAUGCAGGCGGCCUGUUAAGUCAGAUGUGAAAGCCCGGGGGCUUAACCUCGGAAUUGCAUUUGAAACUGGCAGGCUAGAGCUUGUAGAGGGGGUAGAAUUUCAGGUGUAGC